UUCCACGUGGGAUUUUCCUCCUCACACAUCCGGACCCCCUCUCUCUUCUAUAUUUUUUUCCCUCACAUCUUUCCCACUCUAACUUUCUCCCUCUCCGGAAAUCACACAUCACCACCUCCGCCGAAGCCACGCGGUGGAGACCGCACCAACCACCACCACCUUAAGACCCUCCUAGUCUUGAUCUCAAACUAGGCCGAGGCCCUUCUCUUUCAUUCUCUCUCUACACAAUGGCACCAUCACUGUGCAUAUUUUCCUCUGGCGAGCUUUUGAACUUCCGACAAUGAAAUCAACUCGAGGAAACUUCCCUAGUUUUUCAACGAGAGCCACGAUUUUUGGAGGUGAUUUUCAGGCCUCUCUAGCCACCUAUUUUACUUGGGUGUGAUUACUAUCAGAGACUCCAACUUCUCCAAUCCGAACGGCUGUGACCUCACGAACUUGGAACCAACCAUUUCAUGCACGGGUCGACGUUAAGAAGGAGUUUUUAAGGACAUAGAGAGCUUUGAAUCAUCCUCACGAAGCUCAGAAUUAUCGAGCUCUCUCCAGCAAGUUUUUGUUGAUUUCAAGCCUUGAAAUUGGUAAGGAUGUGUUCUUCUAGUUAUAAGCUUUAAAUUGAGACCAAUUUCAUGAGUUUUGGUUAAGAUAUGACUGAGAUACAAGGUUUUAAAGUUUUUCCCAGUUUUCGGUAACAGCGACGGUCGCCGGAGUUCGAAGGUACGGGAUGAUGGAAUAUUCCUAACCACGUUGGUUAGUUUUAACGGUUUCUGUUACUUUUUAACUGAAUAUUCCUAAUGGGGUUAGGGGAUUCUGUUAGGGUCCCUGCGCGUAGGGCCGUGCCCUUGCCGGCCCGUGAGGGCUCCAAAAUUAUUUUAAAAAUUUGGGUGUGUUCGUGUAGUUGUGUAGGUCACAAUGGUAUAUUUAUAUACCUCAUUUGAGCAAUGUAUGAGAAGUUAUUAGCUAGUAUUGGUUAUGUGC